GACGAACGCUGGCGGCGUGCUUAACACAUGCAAGUCGAACGGAAAGGCCCUGCUUGCAGGGUGCUCGAGUGGCGAACGGGUGAGUAACACGUGGGUGAUCUGCCCCUUACUUUGGGAUAAGCCUGGGAAACUGGGUCUAAUACUGGAUAGGACCAUGCUGUAGGUGGUGUGAUGGAAAGAUUAGUUUCGGUAAGGGAUGAGCUCGCGGCCUAUCAGCUUGUUGGUGGGGUAAUGGCCUACCAAGGCGUCGACGGGUAGCCGGCCUGAGAGGGUGGACGGCCACAUUGGGACUGAGAUACGGCCCAGACUCCUACGGGAGGCAGCAGUGGGGAAUAUUGCACAAUGGGCGCAAGCCUGAUGCAGCGACGCCGCGUGGGGGAUGACGGCCUUCGGGUUGUAAACUCCUUUCAGCCAUGACGAAGCCCUUGUGGUGACGGUAGUGGUAGAAGAAGCACCGGCUAACUACGUG
rnacentral:rRNA from 1 species